CCUCCCCCUUCCCCGGCUGGGGCGGCUGGAGAGCCGGGAGUCGCUGGGUGCGUGGGGCUGCCUCGCCGCGUCUCGCCACGGGCUCUGCCAGCAGACAGCCUUGGCACACAGGCACAAGGGCUGGAGCCCAGAGAUGAGAGUGCCCAAGGGAGAUGUGAGCCUGGCGGGCUGCCCGCUAACCUGUCGCUGAAGCCCCAGAAGCGGGCCCUCAGGCCAGGCCUACCCUGCCUCCGGCCCAGCAUGCGCCUGUCGGUGCGGAGGGUGCUGCUGGCAGCCGGCUGCGCCCUGGUCCUGGUGCUGGCGGUUCAGCUGGGACAGCAGGUGCUAGAGUGCCGGGCGGUGCUGGCGGGCCUGCGGAGCCCCCGGGGGGCCAUGCGGCCUGAGCAGGAGGAGCUGGUGAUGGUGGGCACCAACCACGUGGAAUACCGCUAUGGCAAGGCCAUGCCGCUCAUCUUCGUGGGUGGCGUGCCUCGCAGUGGCACCACGUUGAUGCGCGCCAUGCUGGACGCGCACCCCGAGGUGCGCUGCGGCGAGGAGACCCGCAUCAUCCCGCGCGUGCUGGCCAUGCGCCAGGCCUGGUCCAAGUCUGGCCGUGAGAAGCUGCGGCUGGAUGAGGCGGGGGUGACGGAUGAGGUGCUGGACGCCGCCAUGCAGGCCUUCAUCCUGGAGGUGAUUGCCAAGCACGGAGAGCCGGCCCGCGUGCUCUGCAACAAGGACCCAUUUACGCUCAAGUCCUCGGUCUACCUGUCGCGCCUGUUCCCCAACUCCAAGUUCCUGCUGAUGGUGCGGGACGGCCGGGCCUCCGUGCACUCCAUGAUCACGCGCAAAGUCACCAUUGCGGGCUUUGACCUCAGCAGCUACCGUGACUGCCUCACCAAGUGGAACAAGGCCAUCGAGGUGAUGUACGCCCAGUGCAUGGAGGUAGGCAAGGAGAAGUGCCUGCCUGUGUACUACGAGCAGCUGGUGCUGCACCCCAGGCGCUCACUCAAGCUCAUCCUCGACUUCCUCGGCAUCGCCUGGAGCGACGCUGUCCUCCACCAUGAAGACCUCAUUGGCAAGCCCGGUGGUGUCUCCCUGUCCAAGAUCGAGCGGUCCACGGACCAGGUCAUCAAGCCUGUUAACCUGGAAGCGCUCUCCAAGUGGACUGGCCACAUCCCUGGGGAUGUGGUGCGGGACAUGGCCCAGAUCGCCCCCAUGCUGGCUCAGCUCGGCUAUGACCCUUAUGCAAACCCCCCCAACUAUGGCAACCCUGACCCCUUCGUCAUCAACAACACACAGCGGGUCUUGAAAGGGGACUAUAAAACACCAGCCAAUCUGAAAGGAUAUUUUCAGGUGAACCAGAACAGCACCUCCUCCCACUUAGGAAGCUCGUGAUUUCCAGGUAAGCCUGUGGACUUCACUGGGGGUUCCCGCUGCUUCUGGGUGGCCCCGGAGCCACUUUUCUGAAAAGCCACUUUUCUGUCCUUCCAGAGCCUCCCUGGGGUAGACAUGUCCACUAGGGUGGGCUGACCCAGCCCCAUCAGAGGUUUCCAUGGUGACAGACUGGGGGUGCUAUUUAUAGAAUCAAGGCUUAGUUUUCUAGCUCUGGAUCAAGGACAGGGAGAGGGAUUAACGCUGAACCAACCAGAAAAAGGUUUGUCUGACACUGGGGACAGGGCAGGAAGCACCACUAUGAUGGGGGAGGGGGAGAUUCUGGAACCAUUUUUGCACAGAAUGCUGUCUGCCAGUCUGGCUUCUAAAAACAGCAUCAGCGUUGGGCCAGAGCAAUUAAUGUUCUAAUAACAGUCACAAGUCGUUCUGUUCUAAGAAUAACCCCCAUGGCCGUUGGGCCAGGUACUGGUCCUGUGUUACUCAUUUAACCCUCAGCAUCCUUGGGAGGCGGAUGACAUGAUCAUUCCAUUUUACAGAAGAGAAAACCAAAGCACAGAGAAGGAAGGGCUUUGACUUGCCCAAGGCUACACAGCCACCAAGGGACAGAAUUCCUCCCAGAUCUCCGCAAAUGACUUCAUUGCCAAGAAGAGAAGAAAAUGCAUUUAAGUGGAAAUCGGACCUCUAAUCCAAGCAUAUUGCUUGCUAUUAAUCGCCAAAACAGGACUGCUGAUGAGGAAUGUAUUUGCAUAUGUUUGCAAAAGCUGAAUCAUUGAAAACGUACCUUGAAACUCUCUAUCUCUGGACACUCCAGGGUAGAGAAUGAAGGGUAUGGAAGUAGUCCGGCUUUUGAAACUUAGGUAUUUUAUAUUUUUCCCCUCAAGAACUUUUUUUUAAGAGACAGAUUUGCCAUCCUCCUUAAUUUGCAGGACUGCCUUGGUGGCUUUGUUUGCUGGGACAAGGCCCACAACCUGUGCCUCUCCUAUUGACCCUUACUUUGAAUUCAAAGAAUCUAUUUAAGAGUUUAAUAUAUGAGGCUUUCUUUGAUUCCUCCUCAGUUCUACCUAGUUUCACAGAGGAAAAAAAUACUCUUUGAAUAAAGUGAACAGAGGCUCAUUUGUUUGUGCCUUACUUUACUGAAUGAAUAGGGUUUUUUUUUUCUUUCCAUACUGGAUUUUGUCAGGUAGAUUUGUGAUGAGCAAAAAGCUGGAGAAUAUAGGUGCAUGUAAGGCACAGCUGAAUUCCUGUGUCAGGGUCCCCAGGGCCACCCCCAGGAUCGAUGAUUGGCUAGAAGAACUCAGAAUUCAGAAGAGCUAUUAUCCUUAUGGUUAUGGUUUAUUACAGCAAAAGGAUAAACAUUAAAAUCAGCAAAAGAGGCCGGGUGGAGUGGCUCACGCCUGUAAUCCCAGCACUUUGGGAGGCCAAGGCAGGCAGAUCGCCUGAGGUCAGGAGUUCGAGACCAGCCUGGCCAACAUGGUGAAACCCCGUCUCUACUAAAAAUACAAAAAUUACCUGGGCGUGGUGGUGUGCACCUGUAAUCCCAGCUACUCAGGAGGCUUGAACCUGGGAGGCGGAGGUUGCAGUGAGCGGAGAUCGUGCCAUUAUACUCCAGCCUGGGUGACAGAGCAAGACUCCAUCUCAAAAUAAAAUCAACAAAAGAAAAAGGUGCAUAGGGCAGAGUCCGGGAGAGACCGGCCUCAAGCUUCCAGUUGUCAUCUCCUGGUAGAGUCUUACAGACACACUUAAUUUUCCCAGCAAUGAUAUGUGACAACACGUACUAAAUAUUACCAGCCAGAAAGCUCACCCUAGCCUUGGGGUCUAGGUUUUUAUUGCAUGUCAGUCACAUAGGGCAAUCACAUGACCGACUUUAGUUACUUAAUCACCAGCUGCUCCAGAGGUCAAAAUGAUACAGCAUGGCCCAAGGUCCCCACCAUAAAUCACAUUAUUAGCACAAACUAUCUGGCCUGGUAUGGCCCAAGGCCUGAGGUAUACAAAGACACCCCUACUUGGGAGGAUAUUCCAAGGACUUAGAGGUUAUCUCCCAGGAGCCCAUUAAGGCCAGUUUUUUCUUUGAGAUGUGCUGGGUUUGGACACUUCAAGCCUGCUGAGUUAACCCUUAUAGCACAGUCCCCAAAUGCUGAGGGACCAACUGGGCCUACAAUAAGUUUGUAUCUUUAAGGGUUAAGGUGUUUUACCCAUACCUCCUUGCCUUAUAUCUCAUGAUAAUAUGAGGCUUUUGGAAGGCAGUGACUUAUUGUGGCUUGGGGCAUGGGUUUUUGGAGUCAGGCUGACCUACUGGCUGUAUGGCUUGAGACUUUGUCUCUUCAUCUGUAAAAUGGGGAAGUUAAAACUUCAUGGUGUGUAUGUGUGUAUGUGUGUGUUUAGACAGAAUCUCGCUCUGUCACUCAGGCUAGAGUACAGUGGCGUGAUCAUAGCUCACUGCAGCCUCGGUCUCCUAGGGUCAGGUGAUCCUCCCAUCUUAGCCUCCUGAGUAGCUGGGCAUGUGCCACCACACCUGGCUACUUUUUAAAUUUUUUUUUUUCUGUAGAGACGAGGUCUUUCUAUGCUGUUCAGGCUGAACUUCAUGGGUUUAUUGGGGAUGGCUAAUGGAUGACAUUGGCGGUGGUCCUUGAUACCAGAUAAGCCCUCAGUGUGAAGCAGCUCUUAUUUUUCCUUGUCUUGAGAUUGCUCUGGAAUGGAAAUUAGGCUUUUUUGAAGGUGUGACCCUUUUUGUUCAUUUCUUCAGCAGUUACUUUUUAUUUUUUAAAUGUUUGACACACAGUCUCUGAUAAAUGAUCAUUCACCAAUCACCGAUUACUCUCCUUGCUCUGUUAAGUGUGACACUGUCCCUUUGAGAAUCUGGCGACAGCUAUGUAUCCCAUCACCACACACCCCAAAAAAAAAAUUUAUGUCUGGUUCCAGGAGUUACCUUUUAUGAGAAGUCCAUCUGUGAAGACCCUGGAUGUUCAGAGAACUUCCUGGGAAAACACUGAAAGAAAAUAAAGAGGCCGGGCCCGGUGGCUCAUGCUUGUAAUCCCAGCACUUUGGGAGGCUGAGGUGGGCAGAUAAGCUGAGGUCAGGAGUUCCAGACCAGCCUGGCCAACGUGGCGAAACCCCAUCUACUAAAAAUACAAAAAUUAGCUGGGCGUCGUGGCGCAUGCCUGUAGUUGCAGCUACUUGGGAGGCUGAGGCAGGAGAAUUGCUUGAACCCAGGAGGCAGAGGUUGCAGUGAACCAAGAUCAUGCUAGUACACUCCAGCCUGGGCAACAGAGUGAGACUCCAUCUCAAAAAUAAAAUAAAUAAAACAAAAUAAAAUAAAUACAAUUUCUGUUUCUAGCCCCUAAGUGGUAGCACUGGGUCUUGUUCCCUGAAAAAAACUAGGCUCAGAAUCCACUCUCAUUUCAUCUCCCCUGAUUUGAUCUGAAAAGAUUUUGUUUAGAGUACUACAUGAAUAUAUUAUAAAACAUGGGACAAUCAGAAUUGAUAGUAAGAAGGCAAGUGGCUCUAUUUGUACUUCCUCUCAAUAGCUCCUAAAGGUAAUGCUACCAUUUUCUGUUUGUACAUAGUCUUCCAGACUUUAAAUUUUUGAACAUAUAAAUAUUAUCAUCUUAAAGACGUAUGGAAAAAACCAUUUUGAAUAGGUUAUUCCAAAAUGUAAUUUAACAGAUUGCUCUGGAGGAUUGUUUGUUUGUUUGUUUUGGAGACAGAGUCCCGCUUGGUUGCUCAGGCUGCAGUGCAGUGGCACAAACACAGCUCACUGCAACCUCUAACUCCUGCAAACACAGCUCACUGCAACCUCUAACUCCUGCAAACACAGCUCACUGCAACCUCUAACUCCUGCAAACACAGCUCACUGCAACCUCUAACUCCUGCAAACACAGCUCACUGCAACCUCUAACUCCUGGGCUCAAGCAGUCCUUUCACCUCAGCCUCCUGAGUAGCUGGACCAUGACACCUACCUAACUUUUUAUUUUUUGUAAAGAGGGGAAUCACUAUGUUGCCCAGGCUGGUCUCAAACUCCUGGGCUCAAGCAAUCCUUCCUCAGCCUCUCAAAGAGUUGGGUUUACAGGCGUGAGCCACCGCACCUGGCUCCUGGAGCAUUUCUGAUGUGAACAUGUGCUGAUCUAACACCACUCCUUUUACCAGCUGCCUGUUCUAGAGCAAACCAUCUUUUUUGAGCAUUCCACUUUGGCUAGGCCCUUAGGCUGUUAGCAGUUUUCAUCGCUACUGGCAAAGCUGCAGUGGACGUUCUCCUGCACAUAUAACCUCUUGAUGCCACUGUAUGAGUGAGUCUCUGCAAAAUGAGAAGUAGAAUUGCUGGGGUGAAAGGCAUACAUACUAACUUUUUUGAUUAAUUCCACCCAUGUACCCUGAUUUGGGCAGAAUUUUAAUCUCACUGUGAAAUCAGAGCUUUGUUCUAGAGCCUUUCUUGGGGGUUCCAUGGAUCAGUGGGUCAGCCGUCACUUGUGCCCUGGCCCAUCCUCUGUCCAGCUUGGGCAGCAUGCAUCAUUCAUUCUGAUUCCUUAAUUUGCCAUAUGUGAAAACAUGGUAAUCUAUACAUUACUUGGGUGCUAUUAUUAUAUAUAACUAGCUUUGGAGUCAGAAUUAGCGUCUCAUCCUGGCUCUACCACUUUCCAACUGUGCGACUGUGGCCAAGUGACUCCCCUUCUCUGAGCCUCAGUUUUCCUCUUCUGUAAAAUGGGGGUAAAGGGAUAAGAACUAUAGGGGGAUCUCAGGGGAUGGUUAAGAGAAAUCCAUGAGAUAAGCAAACACAUUAUCUAGUUUAGUAAAGCUAAGCAAUGAAGACUUAACAGCCCCAUGGUGAAGGCUUAAUACAUGGUAGCUAUAAUGAUUACUAUUAAUAUUGUGAAAUAAAAGGUUGUGAUGAACCAA